UACGAGGGGGGCAAGUGUUGUUCGGAAUCACUGGGCGUAAAGGGAGCGUAGGCGGAUGUUUAAGUUGGAUGUUUAAAACCGGGGCCCAACCCCGGGGCGGCAUCCAAAACUGGGCAUCUUGAAUGGAACAGAGGCUAGUGGAAUUGGGGGUGUAGCGGUGGAAUGCGUAGAGAUCCCCAAGAACACCAAUUGCGAAGGCAGCUAGCUGGGUUCACAUUGACGCUGAGGCUCGAAAGCAUGGGGAGCAAACAGG
rnacentral:rRNA from 1 species